rnacentral:antisense_RNA from 1 species
GAGCCCCCUAACCUCGUCCCACCUCCCAAAACUUCUCCCCCUGCCGUUGGGCUAUGGAAAGGAGAAAGGACGCAGGACCUUGAGGGAGGCAUCGAGUCACAGAGCAGAGAGGGGCCAAGGAGACCCAGGCGGGAGGCGCGGCAGCAUACAGUCUGCGGGGACAAGGACGGAACCGGGUAUUGGGAGCCAGGUCCCUGGUUCCCUUCACGCCCCCACCCCCAGCCUCAGCUCUGUCUGGGUGGAACGAAUGUCUGCUAAUGAACUAAACAAACAGGUCUCUUAAUCUUAUCAUGGAGCUGACCCAGAGACUGGCACAGAUAUCCAAAGUAUCAUAAUUGGCAGGUCAGAAUUAAAACUACAUGCAUCAUAGUGACUUUAUAGCUGAGGCAAAGUGGAGCUCAAGUGUUACUUUCCCAGUAAACAAAUCAUAAUGAAGUAUCAUGCUGGUGACUAAUUUAACUAACAUUGUCCAGGAAAUUGCUGUUGUCCAGGAAGAAAAGAGUUGAGCUGUGUGUCAGCUACUGGGCUUCUGGCACCAUCCUGCACAAGCAUUG